UGUUAAAAAUUUUAUCCAUUUGUACAGUUAAAAAUUGGCAUUGCUGAUAGAAUAACCAAACAAUGAUACAUGGUGUGCCACAUAUACCUCGUGUUAAUGUACAAUGACCAAUUUUUAACAAUGGAAAUGAACAGAAUUUUUAAUA
rfam:Gossypium raimondii Chr10_contig_31, whole genome shotgun sequence.